UCCUAUGAUGGCAUGAAAUCUUUGAGACCUGAUAUCUUUUCUCCUGGUGAAACUAUAGCAUGAUUCUGAGGAC